rnacentral:rRNA from 1 species
AUGAAUGCGAGGGUUUUCGGCAACGUCGGUGAGACCCUGGUGCUCGCCCACGGCUACGGGGGCAGCCGGUUCGUCUGGGACGACGUCGUCCCGUCGCUGGCGGACAAGUUCCGGGUCGUCGUCUUCGACUGGAGCUUCUCCGGCGUGGCGGACGGCGGCGGGUGCUCCGAGCGGCGGUUUUCGUACCACGACUUCGCCGACGAACUCGUGGCGCUGAUGGACGAGCUCGGGCUGAGGGGAGCAGUGUUCCUGGGCCACUCCAUGGCUGGCAUGAUCGGCUGCAUUGCGUCGCUUGCAAGGCCAGACCUAUUCACCCACCUCGUGCUGGUUGGGGCGUCACCUAGGUACAUCAACGACGACGGCUACGAGGGCGGAUUCGGCCGCGGAGAGGUGGACGCCAUGCUCGGAGCCAUCGAGACCGAUUUCACCGAGUGGGCGCCGCUCUUCGCCGAGACCGUGGUCGGGGUGGACCACCCAGCGGCCGUCGCAAAGUUCGCCAAGCAGCUGGCGAUGAUGCGCCCGGCCACCGCGCUCCGCGUCAUGCGCACCGUGCUCACCUGCGACGUCCGGGACGUGCUCCCGGACGUCAAGGCACCAUGCACCAUCGUGCACUGCACCCAGGACGCCGUGGCGCCGCUCGCAGUUGCUCGCUACAUGCAGCACCGACUGGCCGGGUGCGCUGGUGGCGGCGGCGCGGCCUCGGUGGUCAUCCAGUCCUCCAGCCACUUCCCACAGCUCACCGCGCCAAAGGAGUUCGUCCGGGUCAUUGAGGCCAUCUUGCUCGACCGCUGA